ensembl:rRNA 5S_rRNA 5S ribosomal RNA
GCUUACGGCCAUACCUCUCUGGCUCCGCCUGAUCUCGUCUGAUCUCAGAAGCUAAGCAGAGUAGGGCCUGGUUAGUACUUGGAUGGAAGACCGCCUGGGAAUCCCAGGUGCCGUAAGCU